rnacentral:rRNA from 1 species
GACGAACGCUGGCGGCGUGCCUAAUACAUGCAAGUUGAGCGAUGAAGAUUGGUGCUUGCACCAAUUUGAAGAGCAGCGAACGGGUGAGUAACGCGUGGGGAAUCUGCCUUUGAGCGGGGGACAACAUUUGGAAACGAGUGCUAAUACCGCAUAAUAACUUUAAACAUAAGUUUUAAGUUUGAAAGAUGCAAUUGCAUCACUCAAAGAUGAUCCCGCGUUGUAUUAGCUAGUUGGUGAGGUAAAGGCUCACCAAGGCGAUGAUACAUAGCCGACCUGAGAGGGUGAUCGGCCACAUUGGGACUGAGACACGGCCCAAACUCCUACGGGAGGCAGCAGUAGGGAAUCUUCGGCAAUGGACGAAAGUCUGACCGAGCAACGCCGCGUGAGUGAAGAAGGUUUUCGGAUCGUAAAACUCUGUUAGUAGAGAAGAACGUUGGUGAGAGUGGAAAGCUCAUCAAGUGACGGUAACUACCCAGAAAGGGACGGCUAACUACGUG